rnacentral:rRNA from 1 species
CCUACGGGUGGCAGCAGUGGGGAAUAUUGCACAAUGGGCGCAAGCCUGAUGCAGCCAUGCCGCGUGAGUGAAGAAGGCCUUCGGGUUGUAAAGCACUUUCAGCGGGGAGGAAGGCGGUGAGGUUAAUAACCUCAUCGAUUGACGUUACCCGCAGAAGAAGCACCGGCUAACUCCGUGCCAGCAGCCGCGGUAAUACGGAGGGUGCAAGCGUUAAUCGGAAUUACUGGGCGUAAAGCGCACGCAGGCGGUCUGUCAAGUCGGAUGUGAAAUCCCCGGGCUCAACCUGGGAACUGCAUUCGAAACUGGCAGGCUAGAGUCUUGUAGAGGGGGGUAGAAUUCCAGGUGUAGCGGUGAAAUGCGUAGAGAUCUGGAGGAAUACCGGUGGCGAAGGCGGCCCCCUGGACAAAGACUGACGCUCAGGUGCGAAAGCGUGGGGAGCAAACAGGAUUAGAUACCCGUGUAGUC